rnacentral:misc_RNA from 1 species
AAACCAAAACUGAGUGCGUGCGACCAACCAAAAGCACAACAGAUCCCCGCAGCGACGACGGCUCAGCUGGUGAGCGACGACAGCAUGCCGCCGCCACUCUUGGCCGGCACCACCACCUCCCAGCCCGGGCCUUUCAGCGGUACAAGAGGCGAGGCCGCGUUUGCGCCGCCAGCGCCAGGCGGCGGGCCCAUCAGGUCGCUCCGGUCCAUCAGCCUCUGGAGGUCCUCGUCGCUGAUGUCGGUCUGGACGAUCCUGUCCUCCUCGGUCUGCUCGUCCUUGAGAAGCGCCAGCAGCUCACCUUCCUACGACCAGAUUGGGAUGCGUCGGAGGUAUCACAUCUAAGGCGCUCGGCUUAGCUCUGUCUUGCUCGAACUGUCCCUUGCCGAUCACCACGUGCUCCAGCUUCAGCUUCCCAAAGGCUCUCUUCAUCAUCCGCCCCUGCGAAUGAUGGGAUGCGUGGUGGUGAGUAGGCAUGUACGUACAUUCACUAGAUAACCCAAACAACAGUCUUCAACUCCCAGAUGACUGCCGCACCUCAACGGAGUGUGACGUAGCCAGCCUAUACACAUGCACUGGGCGUGUUUGGCCGAUCCGGUGGCAUCGGUCCAUGGCCUGCAAAUCCAUCUGAGGGUUCUGGAGUAAAGCACAAAAAAAGUUAUGCGCGUUAGAUAGACAUAACUACCGCCAUGUGGGUACAUAGAUAGCCAGUUAGCCACAAGGAGAAGAGGUACGCGUUUUUUUUUAAUAACGACAGACUUCAGCAGAUGGGUAUCGGUAUGUGCCAUGGAUUGAUUGACAAAGAGAGUUUACCCAGUCGCUGUCGUAGAGGAUACAGGUGUCAGCGGCAGUAAGGUUGAUGCCAAGCCCACCAGCCCUUGUGCUCAGGAGGAAGAUACGCAUGCUGCUAUUCACGUCAUUGAAUUCUGCUAUCUGCCAUGUAAAAAUACAAGCAACCAAAACUUAAAUGAGGAAA